rnacentral:rRNA from 1 species
AACGAACGCUGGCGGCGUGCCUAACACAUGCAAGUCGAGCGAGAAAGUCCCGGCAACGGGAUGAGUACAGCGGCGAACGGGUGAGUAACGCGUGGGUAAUCUACCCUCCAGCUCGGGAUAACCUGCCGAAAGGUGGGCUAAUACCGGAUGAUGUUCCCGUGGGGAUCCCGCGGGAAGCAAAGGGGGCGAGCGUAAGCAGCCCUCACUGGAGGAGGAGCCUGCGUCCGAUUAGCUUGUUGGUGGGGUAAUGGCCUACCAAGGCGACGAUCGGUAGCCGGCCUGAGAGGGCGACCGGCCACACUGGAACUGAGACACGGUCCAGACUCCUACGGGGGGCAGCAGUGGGGAAUCUUGCGCAAUGGGCGAAAGCCUGACGCAGCGACGCCGCGUGGGCGAUGAAGGCCUUCGGGUCGUAAAGCCCUGUCGGGUGGGACGAAUCUCCUGGUGGCGAAUAACCACCGGGCUUGACGGUACCACCGAAGGAAGCCCCGGCUAACUACGUGCCAGCCGCCGCCGUAA